GACGAACGCUGGCGGCGUGCUUAACACAUGCAAGUCGAACGGAAAGGCCCUGCUAUCGUGGGGUGCUCGAGUGGCGAACGGGUGAGUAACACGUGAGUAACCUGCUCUAGACUUUGGGAUAACUUCAGGAAACUGGGGCUAAUACCGGAUAGGAGCUGCUGCUGCAUGGAGGGGGUUGGAAAGUUUCGGCGGUUGGGGAUGGACUCGCGGCUUAUCAGCUAGUUGGUGGGGUAGUGGCUUACCAAGGCUUUGACGGGUAGCCGGCCUGAGAGGGUGACCGGCCACAUUGGGACUGAGAUACGGCCCAGACUCCUACGGGAGGCAGCAGUGGGGAAUAUUGCACAAUGGGCGGAAGCCUGAUGCAGCAGCGCCGCGUGCGGGAUGACGGCCUUCGGGUUGUAAACCGCUUUCGCCUGUGACGAAGCGUGAGUGACGGUAAUGAAUAAAGAAGCACCGGCUAACUACGUG
rnacentral:rRNA from 1 species